rnacentral:rRNA from 1 species
AACGAACACUGGCGGCAUGCCUAACACAUGCAAGUCGAACGAGAUCUUCGGGUCUAGUGGCGCACGGGUGCGUAACGCGUGGGAAUCUGCCCUUUGGUUCGGAAUAACAGUUGGAAACGACUGCUAAUACCGGAUGAUGACGAAAGUCCAAAGAUUUAUCGCCAGAGGAUGAGCCCGCGUAGGAUUAGCUAGUUGGUGUGGUAAAGGCGCACCUAGGCGACGAUCCUUAGCUGGUCUGAGAGGAUGAUCAGCCACACUGGGACUGAGACACGGCCCAGACUCCUACGGGAGGCAGCAGUGGGGAAUAUUGGACAAUGGGCGAAAGCCUGAUCCAGCAAUGCCGCGUGAGUGAUGUAGGCCUUAGGGUUGUAAAGCUCUUUUACCCGGGAUGAUAAUGACAGUACCGGGAGAAUAAGCUCCGGCUAACUCCGUGCCAGCCGCCGCCGUAA